rnacentral:rRNA from 1 species
GACGAACGCUGGCGGCGUGCCUAAUACAUGCAAGUAGGACGCAGUUGCGAACGGGUGAGUAACGCGUAGGUAACUACCUAUUAGAGGGGGAUAACUAUUGGAAACGAUAGCUAAUACCGCAUACUAGUAGAUGGACCUGCGUUGUAUUGGCUAGUAGGUAGGGUAAAGGCCUACCUAGGCAACGAUACAUAGGCGAUCUGAGAGGGUUGUCCGGCAAAAUGGGACUGAGGAACGGCCCCGACUCCUACGGGGGGCAGCAAUAGGGAAUCUUCGGCAAUGGGGGGAACCCUUACCGAGCAACGCCGCGGGAGUGAAGAAGGUUUUCGGAUCGUAAAGCUCUUUUGUUAAGGAAGCGGUACUUAACCAGAAAGGGACGGCUAACUCCGUGCCAGCAGCCGCGGUAAUAC